UGCGAAUAAGAGCCAACAACCACCACCCACCAUCCCACUUCAGAUCUCAAACUCAUCGCCGGACCCUUCUCUCCCAUCUCUCUCUGUCGCCCUCUCUGUCCGAGCUCUCUCUGUUGCCGUGGGUCGUCGCCGCUUCACUGCUCCUCGUCGUGGGUCGUCACCGCUUCUCUGCUCCUCGCCCUUGGUUGUCGUCGCUUCACCUCUCCUCGUCGUUCCUAUUUCUCCCCUCCUCGCUAGCAUCGUUUCUGCUUUUAUGCUCCAAACCAUGUCUCACCAUCGUUGCUUCUGUUCUUCGCGUGGAAUCUCGCAGUCAAAGCGACUACCUUCCGUCAUGUCUCAAGUCUCUAGUCUCUGCUUCAAGCCUCUCAGGUCUCAGGUCUCAAGUCUCUUCUUCUUUGCUUCAAGCCUUAAACCUUCUCAGGUCUCAAGUCUCAGUUUCUAACUCUCCCUGAUUCUAUCUCCCUAACUCUAUCCCUCUGAAAUUUAAAAUUUAUUCUGAACAUGCAUAUGAUAUAUUAUUGAUG